rnacentral:lncRNA from 1 species
CCAUGACUUUAAUCAUUUCCUCACCAGAACUUCAAUUAUGCCAAGCACUUUUUAAUUAUCCUGUGGCCCACAAGUCUAUUCUUAGUAAAAGUCUGAUUUUAUGGAGGCAGUCUUCUCCUCUGUGGCAAAAAUCAACUCACCACUUAGCAACUCCACCCAUGAAAAAGCCCUGUGAAUUAAAAGCUACUAAAUUAAGUGUGUAUUUUUAACAGCUUCAAUUUUGAAGUCUGUUUUGGCAUAAAAGUUGAAGACUUUUUUUUGAAGUACAAAAAUGCUAUGUUGGCAUUUCCUGGUAUUUUCAGAAUGCAAUUUGUUUUUUGGGUUGUCCCUUUUACAAAGUUAGUUUCUUAUAACAUCAAUUUUUUUUUUCUAAGGGGAAUAUAUGUAAUCAACUUGCCCUAUCACUUUGUCUUUUUUAUCUUAUUUUAAAAAAGCAAAUUCUGAACCAAGAAGAACAAUGAAAUAAAAAGAAUUUCUGUGUGAGGCAGGGCUGUAGGAUAGGAGGAGAAGGUUUGGGGGCACAGGGGGAAGCAGAGGAAUCACAGAGCUGAAGUGUAAAUGGGCUCAGUGUUUCCUGCACAGAUCAAAACCUGGAACAGAAAUCUAGAAAUUAAGAAAAAGUAAGGCACGUAGAAUUAUUAUGCUUUUUACUAUUUUCAUUUCAUAGUAAUGGAAAAUCUGUUUUUCCCAAUUAAUACAAACACAAUACAAAGUCAUUUUAGGAAAUGCUUGUAUAAGGCUAAUGCUUAUAAGAUAUAUUAAACACUAGUAUAUAAUACAUUCAUUCAAGAAAUAAUAAGGACCUGCUAUGUACAGGGCCCUGUACUUCUCUUGUGUUACAGUAUAGCUCCAAUAAAUGAUUGUAUUAUGAUCCACCCUCCCAAAAAUGUGGUGUUCAAAAGCUGAACUUAGGAAACGUGACACAUACUGUGCCCUCAGUCAACACCUGUUUUCCUUGUUUUUCCCUGCUGUCAUCUAUUAUAGAGGUUGGAAUAUCUAAAAGUUCCCCAGUUUGCCUUACAAAUAAAAGUUGCUUGACAAGGUUCUGGCCAAUGAGAUGUAAAGAGAAAGUCACUGAUACCACACAGUCUCUUUCUAGUAUGCUCUGGAAGUGCUGCUUCAUUCACCCCAGGUGGUGGAGCUGAGAAGCCAGAAGACUCUUUGAAGGUGCUCUUGACCUACUGUACUAACUGUGGACCUCCUACUCGGGACUUCUUAUGGCAUAAAAUAUACACUCCUCUUCCUUGUUUAAAUGACCAUUUGCUGGGUUUCUGUUACUCUUGGCUGCAUGAGUUACUGACUCAGGAAAAAAAUUUGGCAAUAAGCAUGACAGUGGUCUUCAUAUUCCAAAUUGUGAUGAACAGUGUCUAAGACGGCCCACAAUGAUCCCCACCUCCUUCUCCGCCUUGUGUAGUUCCUCUUCCACUCUCUACCAGGGUCAGUUUCUGUGACCAAUAGGAAGUGGCAGAAGUGAGGGUUGUUGCUUCUGAAGUUAUAAAAGGUUACAUAUGCUGGGGUGCUCUCUCUCUGAUUCUUUGCUCUGGGGAAGUCAGCUACCAUGUUAUGUGAGCAGCUCUAUGGAAAGGUCCACAUCGUACAAAACUGGAGCCUCCUGCCAACAGGAGCUUGGAAGCUGACUCUGUGGUCCCUUCAGAUGAUGGCCAUCUCACAAGAGACCCUGAGACAAAGCCACCUAGUGGUGCCCCUUUCAGAUUCCUAACCCUCAAUAGUAAAUGUUUGUUGUUUUAAGCCACUAAAUUUUAGGGUGAUUUAUUACUUAGCAAUAGAGAACUAAGAAACAAAUGGAUUGAUUAUAGUAUCUAAAUGAUGUGCUUUAAAAAUACUCAAUUUAAAAAUAUUUUAUAGUUCUUUAAUAACACAUUUUGGUAUAGGAAAUGGAUAUAUCCUAUAUAUAUAUUGGUAACAUUUUUCAUAUUGAAAUAUAUGUCCUCAUAUGUUUGCUAUUAAAACUUUUUUGGCCUUCUUAAUGUUUAGGUGCUAUUUACUGACUAAUUGAAUAUGUGAUCUAGAUAGUGUUCUUUAUAUGAGUCAGAAAAUAUCCCAGCUUUCAUGGAAUUGCUACUCUGGUGUGGGAGGCAAAUAAUCGAACAAGUAAACAAAUAAGACAGUUUUAUAUAGGGCUGAUCAUUGGGAAGGAGAUAAAACCAUUAAAUGAUAGACUCAGGAUGAAGAUGGCUGGAUUUUGGAGAGAGUGACUUAUGCUAGGAGGGAACAUUGUUACUGAAAUCUGAAUGCUUAGAAGAGGCCAGAAAUGUAAAGGUUAUUCCAAGCAGAGCAUGCAGAGAGUGCAGAGGCUAGGAGGUGGGAAUUCUUAGCUUGCUUAAGCAAUUGAAGUAAGGCCAUUAUGGCUGAACCACAAUGAAUGAAGGAGAAUAGGAGGAGGGCCUGGUUCCUUGAAGGUGGCUUCUUAUUGCUAGAAACAAAGUAGGAGGGCCAAGCUUUGUAGGACACAGUAAGAAGUUCAAUGAAAGCCACUGGAGAGUUCUAAGCAGGGCAACAUCAUGAUUUGUGUAUUGACAACAAUCUGUGAGGCUGCUGGGUGCAGGAUAGAUAAUAGGGCAAGAGGAUGGAGAACAACUAGGAGGCAGUUGUGCUUAGCAUAUAUAGAAACUGUAUGAGUGAGUGUGUGAUAAGUGAAUGAAUGAAUAUGUCAGAGUCAAUCAAGAAUGACUAUAGUUUGGGUCAGUGUGAUGGCAGUGGAGGUGCAAUCAUGUGGACAGAUUUGCACUAUAUUUUGGAAGUAGAAACAGUAGAAGAACUUGAUAAUGCUUUGGAAAUUUGCAUCUGGAAAGGCAGUGAGGGAAAAAGCAGACUCAAGAAAAAAUAACUCCCACCAUUCUGAUUUAAGCAAUUGGGUAGAUGAACAUGCAUUUAUAAGUUGAGCAAGGACUGCGUGGGAGUAUAUUUGGGAGACAAAAGCUUUUGUUGGUUUUGAAAUAUCUGAUAUUUUCAUGUGAAGAUUGUAAUCAGAGAACUCAACUGGGUAUUUGACUACGUUGCUUAUAAGAGGGGUCAGGGCUAGAGAAAUACAUUGAGGAGCUGUCAUCAAUUUCUCAGAGAUUCAUAGUGCAGGCUAAUUUAUACAGGCUUUCAAAAUCAAGCUUCAUUGGCUGUGAAAUCUCGUCAUGCUAAAGGGAGCCAACAGACUGAGAUAAAAAUAUAUAGAUGCUAUUUAGAUCAUGCCACUGGAUGAGGUAUAGCUCUAGAAGAAGACAGAGCUAGUGGAGCUUAAGGGCGCUACAGCAUCACAACAAUGCUUUAACUUUGAUACCAUCAAAAUUGACGUCACUUUAGAAAAUGUUCUGAAUAGUUUCCAGGUCUUUGUAGAGCUCUCUUUUUUUCAAGGAAAUUGACAGAAUUUUGUAUCUUGGCUUAGCACUCUCUCCAGCAUUAGUCAUGUGGCUUUCUGUGUCUUCUUAGAAAUAAUAGUUCUCAUUUCUGGGAUUGUAGAUGGUUUUCUUGAAUUUAUUUUUAAAAUGUGUGGUAUUUUCAUAGAAAAGUAAUGCAGUAAUGUACCACUGGUACGGCACAUUGAUUAGACAUGCUUUUACUUCUUAAUACACCCAGUGUACAAAAAGGGAUCACAAGAGAAAAACAAAAGAAUUCUGCUACUCAAGAUCUUACAACACUGUGUGAUACGUAUCUGUUAGCAAUAAUAGGAAGCUACUUCACACUUCUGCAGUGAUCUGAAAACUGUCAGAUGCCUUUGAACUUGCCAUGUCUGCAUGCAGCUCCUGCACUUAUUUGAGUUACAUGAGGUUGCAUGUUCUUAUUGAGAGUUAAGAGUUCUCAUUUGAAAGUGGUCCAGUCUUGCAAAACUCUAACGAUGAAAGUAUCUCACUUACUGGAAGGCAAUGUAGAUGUCUGGGUCACCAAUUGAGAAUAAGUGACUUCGUGGAUGUUAAGCACCAAUAAGAGGCAGUUUCAGAUGGCUGGCCAGCUACCUCACACAGGAAUCUAAGACAGGAAGGCUGCAGUCAUGUGCAAUUUAAUGGCAAGUCUAGUAAGGAUGAUAAUUUCAAAGUAGUGAUGAAAGUAAAUGAUAUUUGGAGAUAUCUCCAAUAACAGUAAUAAGAGAUUAAAAUAUCCGUGGUUACUAUUGGUGACAAGGUGACUUGUUCUGCUCCUACAAUGGUGAUUUGCUGUCUACAUUCACAAUGAAAGGAAAGGCUAAAUGUCAGUUAGAAGUUUAAUGAAAAUAGGCUGGGCGUGGUGGCUCAUGCCUGUAAUCUCAGCACUUUGGGAGGCUGAGGCAGGCCGAUCACUUGAGGUCAGGAGUUUGAGACCAGCCUUGUCAACAUGGUGAAACCCCGUCUCUACUGAAAAUACAAAAAUUAGCCAGGCGUGGUGCCGGGUGCCUGUAAUCCCACCUACUUGGCAGGCUGAGGCAGGAGAAUCGCUUGAACCCGGGAGGCAGAGGUUGCAGUGAGCCAAGAUUGAACCACUGCACUCCAGCCUUGGGAACAGAGUGAGACUCCGUCUCAAAAAAAAAAAAAAAAGAAAUUUAGAAAAAAUAAAGAUGUGAUUUACUUUUCCCAUCCAUGUUUAUGCAUGCAUUUGCGGACCCCAGGUAAGAGCCCCUGGUUUAAGUGGAAAUUAAAGUAAUAUGCCUGAGUUAACAUGCUGUAGUUUGAGGGGAUCACUAUUCAUCUUUUCACUAUUUAUCUUUUCUUCCCCACCUGAUUUUAGGACAAACUGAGAGUAAAAGAUGCAGGAAUAAAACACAGAAAUCAAAAUAAAGGGUUUACUGCUGAAAAAUCCGCUUGAACAAGCCUGUUAAUGUGAUCUUCCUGAAUGAAGCCAGCUUACCCCUAGGCCUCCACUGUCCCUCAGGAAAGAGAACACGAAAACUGGAACUCUCUGCAGAAAGGAGGAUCCCAAAGAAGGGGCCAAGCUGUACAUUUAUCAAUCAGGAAAGCCACUCCACCCUCCAUGGCAGCCCCUACAAUUUGAAACAAGUAUUCUUCCUAACAUAACACAUUAAUUCAUGAGUUUAUCAGUUCAUUUCAUUUUUACUUUGAGAUUUUUGUGAAUAACCAUAGAAAAAUCUAUUUCACCUGGCAAUAAAUAGGAAAAGGCACAGCAUAAUGUUUAAAUACAGAGAAUAUUGUUACAUGUAAGAUGUUGAUUGAAUGUUCUAAAUACAAUUUGAAAACUGCGUGAGAGGAGGAAAACGUAUAUUCAGAAGGACUUAGGUGAAUCCAGAUGAAUAUUUUCAUGACAGGAUGUUGGCUAUUGAUAUGAAGAAAGUAGAGGAAUAGACUUGCUAAAAGUUAGAGGAGUCUAGUUUAUCUUCCAAGAAGCUUUGCAACCCUGUAAUACUGUAGAAAUCACAAAUUUGGCAAUAAUUUUAAGAUAAUUUAUGUUCAUUUUUUAUGGAAUGCCAUGUUUAUCUUUUUAUAUAUGACAUUUUCUGGUCAGUAGUAAUAUAUAUAUCCUUUAUUAAAAUUGGAAAAUAAAUACAAACAUUUUAUUUAUUUAUUGGUUAAAAAAUUAUUAUGCUCAUUCUUUUUUUUUUUAACCAGUAAGGAUCUGGAUAAAGAAAAACAUUUUAGAAAACCACUUGUAGAGUACCAUGAACCAGUCUCUCUUCUCCAUUUUAAAAAAUUUAUUGACUCACUUUUUUUCCAUAACUUUUUGAGAUAUUAUUUCAACCACUUUGCAUUUAGAGAAAAAGAGUCAGAGAGUGAUUAAGAAAUCUGCCCAAUGCUAUACUGAUAGAAGCUGGGAGAACUGGGAUUUGAGCUUACAUAGGCUAGUUCUAGCAUUUGUGAAGUUCUCGCCUAAUAAAAAUUAUCUGUAAUCAUAACCAGAGCAAGUCAUUUCUAACCUCCUGUCUAUAGACACGCGGAUACAUUUGUAAUGUUUUUGUUUGUUUGUUUUUAGCACGACAGAUCAAUUCCUGCUGGCAUUAUAGUUCUUUAACUAUCAUAGCUUCUCUGAUUUUUCAACACAUCUGUCAUCCGUAUUCUGCAGGCAUAGCCAACUCUGUCAGUGUCUCCUCAGGCAAUCAGAAUCAACAGACAGAAUGUAGGACAGAAAACUGGCUGCAAACAUGUUGGAAGGGCUGGAGGAGCGAAAGAGGGAAGAUCUGUUACCUAGAGAUAGUAACUUCCAGAAGUUACCACUAUACUAGUGCAGGAGAAGCAGAAAGGAAGAUGCUGCUACCCAGAGCCCACAGUCAUUGUGCCCCUGAUGCCGCUGGAACCCCACUGCAGCUGCUUUACAGGAAGCAGGGAAUUAGCGCUCUUGCUGAUGCUACAGGUAUCCAGGAUCCAAAAGUCAUCAGCCGCUGUCCCUGUUGCAGCCUAGGGAAACUGUCCCACUGAGGUUGUUGGGGUACCUGCUACUGCAUCUACUGUCUGAACCAUGUUGCCUGAGCAGAUGUCCAGGGCUCAGGCUUGCCUGCUGCUGUUACUGCUGCCACCAUGUUUAUCAGAGCUACUUCAAGAAGAGAAGAAAUCCUCCUCAUUUCCAGUUUUUUCCAGUGCCUCCCAUUGCUUCCCAGAAUGCCAAAUUCUCUUUGAGAGACAGCUGAAAGGAAGGUUUGGAAAAGACUCUGGUGUAAGCAGAUUCUGCUUCCCUGCAAUAGGGGGAAAGCAUAGGGUGGAACUGGAGCUGAGAGCUAAUCACGAAUGAGCAAAUCAGUCUUCAAGACAUUUACCUUUCCUUGAAACGUUUCCCUUCUUUUACCGUGUUUUCCAUGUCAUUAUUUUUCCACAAUUCUGCAUCAUAUUCUGUUAACUAUUAAUGCCCUGGAUAAGUUUAUUUGCUCUUUCUUAGGGUUAAUUUUUCUCCUUUUCUUCGAAGCUUUAGUUUGCAGGUUCAGCUUGUGUGGGAAUUUUCAUCUCCCUCCUCUUCAAGACUCCUUGGAUAUCAGUUUUUUGGUUGCCUUCACCAACUCUCCCCCCACCAUCUCUAGACCAGGGCAUGGUCUUAGUUGGUGGCUUGGACUCCUGUGGCUUGGAGUCUUUGGGGAUAUUAGAGAUCCAGUCACUGAGCUGGCAAAGGGAACACUGUCCUUGCUUCCAGCUUUAUGAAGAACGCUUUGCUCUGUCACCCCACGUAAAUAAUCAUGUUAUUCAAGGAUAAUGAAUGCAGCCACCAUGUAAUCAUCACUGACUCCAUGGCCAUGAGAAAAGAGACCUAAGAAAUGAUGCCCAUCCAGAAGAGUGAAGACUUCCUGAAAAUGUUCUUUUAACCUAAGAUGUAGGUUAAGAGGAGUGAAAAAAUGUUCUGUUUCUGACUGAUGAUGGAGCAACAAAGAUCCUAAGAGCGAUCCCGCAAUUCAUUCAUCUUGAAUAGACUCAUAGAGCUUCAAGAGUGGGCUUCUGAAGCCCACUCCAACUCCAUUCUUGUUCCUUGGUCCCUCUGGAGCUGGUCUGGCCCCUAAGGAUGUGAGCCAAAGGUUUCUAAAUGUUUGAUGAGUUCCAGAGUGUUUGAGUUAAUUUUUGUUGAUGCACUGACAGUUG